GCCCACGUGGCGGAAUUGGUAGACGCGCAUGGUUCAGGUCCAUGUGUCGAGAGACGUGGGGGUUCAAAUCCCUCCGUGGGCACCA
rnacentral:tRNA from 1 species